UGCCUACGGGUGGCAGCAGUAGGGAAUAUUGGGCAAUGGAGGAAACUCUGACCCAGCCAUGCCGCGUGAAGGAUGAAGGUCCUACGGAUUGUAAACUUCUUUUAUUAGGGAAGAAACGUCUCGAUUCAUCGGGAUUUGACGGUACCUAAGGAAUAAGCACCGGCUAACUCCGUGCCAGCAGCCGCGGUAAUACGGAGGGUGCAAGCGUUAUCCGGAUUCACUGGGUUUAAAGGGUGCGUAGGUGGAUUAAUAAGUCAGUGGUGAAAGCCCCGAGCUCAACUUGGGAAUUGCCAUUGAUACUGUUAGUCUUGAGUUCGGUUGAGGUAGGCGGAAUAAGUCAUGUAGCGGUGAAAUGCUUAGAUAUGACUUAGAACACCGAUUGCGAAGGCAGCUUACCAAGCCGACACUGACACUGAGGCACGAAAGCGUGGGGAUCAAACAGGAUUAGAUACCCGAGUAGUCUAC
rnacentral:rRNA from 1 species